AGCUUGCUCCUGCUGGAUUAGUGGCGAACGGGUGAGUAACACGUGAGUAACCUGCCCUUGACUCUGGGAUAAGCGUUGGAAACGACGUCUAAUACCGGAUACGAGCUAGGACCGCAUGGUCACUAGCUGGAAAGAACUUUGGUCAAGGAUGGACUCGCGGCCUAUCAGCUAGUUGGUGAGGUAACGGCCCACCAAGGCGACGACGGGUAGCCGGCCUGAGAGGGUGACCGGCCACACUGGGACUGAGACACGGCCCAGACUCCUACGGGAGGCAGCAGUGGGGAAUAUUGCACAAUGGGCGCAAGCCUGAUGCAGCAACGCCGCGUGAGGGACGACGGCCUUCGGGUUGUAAACCUCUUUUAGCAGGGAAGAAGCGAAAGUGACGGUACCUGCAGAAAAAGCACCGGCUAACUACGUGCCAGCAGCCGCGGUAAUACGUAGGGUGCAAGCGUUGUCCGGAAUUAUUGGGCGUAAAGAGCUCGUAGGCGGUUUGUCGCGUCUGCUGUGAAAAUCCGAGGCUCAACCUCGGACCUGCAGUGGGUAUGGGCAAACUAGAGUGCGGUAGGGGAGAUUGGAAUUCCUGGUGUAGCGGUGGAAUGCGCAGAUAUCAGGAGGAACACCAAUGGCGAAGGCAGAUCUCUGGGCCGUAACUGACGCUGAGGAGCGAAAGCGUGGGGAGCGAACAGGAUUAGAUACCCUG
rnacentral:rRNA from 1 species